rnacentral:piRNA from 1 species
GAAGAAUACACUAUAGGACUGUAUGGC